rnacentral:rRNA from 1 species
GGGUGCGAUCAUACCAGUACUAAUGCACCGGAUCCCAUCAGAACUCCGCAGUUAAGCGUGCUUGGGCGAGAGUAGUACUAGGAUGGGUGACCUCCUGGGAAGUCCUCGUGUUGCACCCC